GCGGCGAGGCACACGGCGGGGGCCGCGGGCACCGGUAAGGGAUGCGCGGCGGUGCGGGAGGGAGUGAGAGCAACGCGCCUCGCGUGCUGCAAGCGCCGGUCUCCUGCGGCUCCGCGGGAUAUCCACCUCCAGGCUGCGAGUUUUCAGAAUGGUCCUACAGUAUAAAUAUGUAAGCGCAUGUUGGCACCCUGAGGGUUGCAGAGUCGGGUUAGGUCGUAUGGACGUCGAUAUCCAAAUCUUUGUAAAUGUAUGUUCAUACAGACCGUCUUUAAGUGCGCUUCUUUUACCAGCAUUUUGGUAUGGUGGACAAAGGUGGUGAGAAAAGAGCACAGAUGACUUCUGCUAAUAGGAUAGACUGUUUCAGUUGGAAGUGACCUACAACGAUCAUCUGGUCCAACUGCCUGACCAAUUCAGGGCUGAUCAAAAGUUCAAGCAUGGUGUUAAGGGCAUUGUCCAAAUGCCUCUUAAAACACUGACAGGCUUGGGGCAUCGACCAUCUCUCUAGGAAGCCUGUUCCAGCUUCUGUAAAGAAAUGCUUCCUAAGUCCAGUCUGAACCUCCCCUGACACAGCUUUGAGCCAUUGCCACAUGUCCUGUCGCUGGGUACCAGCGAGAAGAGAUCAGCACCUCCCUCUCCACUUCCUCUCCUCAGGAAACUGCCCUCUGCAAAACACGGCACGCAUUUGUCAGUGUCUUUCCUGUCCUGGGGAGACCAGAAUGGGACACGGGAGUCCGCAUGCAGUCUCAAAAGUGCCAAAUAAGAGAGGAGAGCGUUUUUUGGUUUUUAAACUGGGUUUGAUUGGGUUUUAUUGGUUUUUAAUUGGGUUUUACUGGGGUUUUAAUUGGUUUUUUAAAUUGUUUAUUGCACAAUCUUGUCAAAACUUCUUCCUGUCAGAACUCAAGGCUUCUGCUUCUCCAAAGAGCUGUCUCUCCAUCUUGAAUGUUUGCAGGGAUGGGGCGUCUGCCUUCUUUGAUUGUUGCUAUUCUCUGCGCACUGCCAGGGUGGGUCCGGCUUCAUUUUCACCCACCCGUUCAGUAGCUGAGGCGAAAGCUAGCUGAGGACAGCCACCCCCCACUGGCUUUGUCAUCCUCAGAGUGACAAAAUGCCACCUCCAGGCCCCAAUAACCUGGGAGGCACUCCAGGGGAGUCCAAGAGGCUCCAGUGGUGUCCAGCUGGAGGGACGAAACAAUUGUCUGGUUUAUCUCGAGCUCUUGUAUUUCAGGCAUCUUCAACGAAUACCUGUGCCUUUUCUAGAGGAGAUAUGUAGCAUUGGAACGGUGUUAUUGGUGUCACAAAUCUAACAUCGAAUUGAAGUUCAAUCUGAAAAAACGCAAGCCAUAGUUCUUCAAUCUGUGUGGGCAAUUACCCCACAUCAGGUUAUCAAACCCAGAGUAAUACUAGCUGAAGGAGCUGGCGCAACGGCGUUAUGUAUUACUGUAAGGAGACGACACUCCUGUUUUUCCUCCCUUAUCACAGGUUGGCUCAUCAUGCUUUGUAGUCUUGUAGUAGAAUCACAUGCCCUGGAUGCAUUUCCACAAGAUCAAUGUGUAAAUACUUGGAUUUGGUUGGCCUCUACUGUAACUAACUCAUCUGCCUUUUCUAUUGUAUUGAUUAACAGCUGCAGAUCUUUUGACAACGUGUUUUAUUGGCAUGCCAACUCCAGUAGCUGUAUUACAGAAUUAUACUAUGUUAAGUGCUUUUGAUAUUAGUGUUCGUCAUUGCUAUUUUUUCUGAGUAGGUAGUGUACGCCCAGAAACAUUACGAAGUCAACUGGCGGCGGACUGUCUCCUCCUUCUACACCAUAAACGCUGCUCCAAUCUUGAAGGCAUAUGUUGCUUCAAGGUAACUGAUGAAUCAGCCAGCCUAGAGGAUGACAUUCAACAUCUCCAGGAUUUAAUGCAUCAAAUGAAACAAUCUACUGGUGGUGCCUGGCUGGCUGAGCGGUUUAAUUCCCUGACAGGAUGGGUGGGACACCUGAUUCAAAGCAUUAUUGUAGGGAUAGGUUUAUUCCUUUUUCUGUAUGUGUUCAUUACACACCUCUACAUUACCCUGCCCUAUACCCUGCAAGCCCAAAUGGACAGCUCCAGCUUUGCCAGCCCCAGUGGAAGCAGUCCCUUGAGCGAGGGGAUGGAACGUGGGAUAAUAACGGACGAUUGGCAAGGAGGAUUAUAAACACGCUCAAGUGACUUGCAGCUGGCAUGCAGAAGUAUACAUAUGUCAUACUAAUGGCUGUUUAUCCUUGUGUGCUUGACAAGUAGAACAUCGGUGUUUAGGUAACAGAGGCCUGUGACAGACUUAGAGGCGCCCUAUCGAACACGCUUGAGAUUCCUGUCCUGCUGUGGGAAGGAUCAAAGCACAGUGGUACAUUGCACCUGCACAAAUCUCUGAUAAACCAGCGAAAACAGCGGGGUCAGCAGUCCCCUGGCACAGGCUGAGCUCAGCAGUGCCUGCAUCCCUGCUCAUGUGCCUGUGCCCAGGUGCUGCUUCGGGGAUCCCCUGGUUGGCAAGGUAAUGAAAAUAAAUUUACUCUUUGCAUUUCAUCUGUGGCUUUGUGGUUGUCCUCCGCCCAGCUAUUGCGGGCAACUACUACUUUAGGAGAAUUUCUAUAAAGUAAGAAAUUGCUGGUUUUAUUUUGUCAUGAUGGACAAAAAAAUAACUGAUUCUAAAUCAUGUCCACUGCAGCUUAUGCUUCCAUAACAUACCACUCAACUGAUUUCUGUGUGUAAAUGUCUGUGGAGAGGAAUCACAGGUGCCUGCUGUUACUAUAGGGACAAGCAGUAUGGGCUCACAGGAACAGAACAUGCUUUGCCUUCCCAUCACCAGAAGAAGAAAGAACAGUUGAAGAAGGGCACUCAGGAUCAAGAGGCUGCAAGGAAGUUGCUGUACUUGAUCCUUUUGCCUUGCUUUGUCUGACAGAAAAGCUGUCUUCUGCUAGCUGGGUCGUGGCUUGAAAUACAGUGAGAACUUCUUGCUUUAGCCCAUUAAAGGGGAAAGAGACUCCCUCCCCUCUCCCAGGGAGUGUGCUACUUUUGACUCACUUGUUCUGACUAUAUGAUCUGCAAUUAUAAUAUUUAGAUUGCAUGGUGACAAUCUAUACCGUUGACUCCCUGAAUGGUUUUUCAUUUCUGUCCCCACUUCCUUCUCCAGCUUUUUUCAAUACAUCAAUUAAAAAAAAAAUAAUUUUUUUUUUUUAACCUUACGUGAACAUCAUCUGUUGUCUUUGGCCCCAAACGCUUUAUGUCCUAGAAAUAAGUUGAGUCUUUUCAUCAGAAUACUUAAAAGAUUUCUAGCCACUGUAGUACUAUUGUAUUGGGUUUUUUUUUUAAUAAGUUUCUAUACAGGUUCCAGUGUGUGCACUAAAUUUCUACUGCAGUAGAAAACAGUCUUAAGCUGAAGAGAGGUUUCAUGCUUGGGAGAGAAAAAGAGCAGAUCUUGACUCAAAAGCAACUUUUCAAAGGGAAAGAAAUGUAGUGCUUAAUCGUACUGUGCUGUCCUGUAGAAGUUGUGGACACUGUGGUGUUCUCCAGAAUGCUACUUAGGCUGCCACUACAAGUAGGUCAUUUAAAAUAAUAAUCUUAGACUUUAAAAAUACAUAAAACUUAAUGAUGCUUAAAGUUUAGAGCAGGGUAUUCAUCAGGUUAAAAUAACUUCAUGCUUAUGACAUGCACAGUCAUGGUUCCUUUCAGGUUUUUUGGUUGGUUUUUUUCUUCUUUAAAAUGGCACUGGUUGCAGUGAUCUUCAGUUUUAUGACACAGCUAACUGUCUUAGUAUGGAUAUGGUUCCUUUCUGCCUACUAUUUCAGUUGACUUGCAGGCAUAGUUAAGAUAGCUCUUUGAGUUGUGGAGUGUGUGUAUAUAGAUACGUGUGUGUGCGUGUGUGUGAAUGUGUAUGAAAAUAAUAAGACCUAAAGUGCCCUCCCCACAUUGUUAGUUUUUGCUGACCUGUAUUUCAGUGUUACCAAGAUUUUAAAGUGACCCAAGUAUUGCUGUUGCAAAUGUUUCCAUGUUUGUCUAACUAUUGUGAUGACUUAAAUAAAAAAAGAAAUCAAAACAGUAAAUGUUUCAUUACUUGCCCUAUAACUAUAUAGUCCUUCCCUGUCUAAUAUCUAUUUCUUUUUUCAGGAUUCACUGUAAUUUUUUUUUUACCAUAUGAAGUGGAAAGAGAUUUCUGGCUUACUGUUGGCUUUUAAUAGAUGUUUUAUCCUUGGGGAAUUGCCCAGCAAUUAAUUCACAGAGUUUGGAAUUUAACUGAAGGACAUUUUGCAUGGCCAUGUUCAAAUAUUGAUGCUAACGAGCCACCAUACAGUUCAUGUUCAUAGCUUUAUGGAUACUUAAAGAUAGGCAAUAGUCUUAUUUUUUAAUAAUGCUUAACCUUUUUCUCUUUGGCAAGAACAGGCAAGUCUGCCUGGUUUUGUAGUACUUGCAGCUUUUCCUUAACAUCAGACUUUAAAAAGGGGAGAACCAGUAUCAAGUAUACAGUUAGGAUGGUGAUUUUUAAAAUACUAAGCUGCAUAACAGUCUCAGGAAGAACAUGUGUGACUGGGCGUGAGAGUCUAUGGUGUAGCAUUACUAAUAUUUGCUAAAAAAAGUUUUGAAGAAUGAAGCAUUUGCUUUAUGAACAAUACUUGAGGACGAAUUCUGAUGCUGCUAAAGUUUAUCGAAAAAUAGGCACUGAUUUCAGUGAUUAUGCAGGUGUGAUUUCUGCUCAUGCUUUAAAUCUGAAAAGAGAAACAUACAUUUGAAGGAGGAUUUUGUAUGAAGGGUAAUCAAACCAGUAACCUGCUUUAAGAUGACUUUAAAAUAUUUGGAGCAAUGGUUAAAGGCAAAUAAGUAAAGUUUAUCAUAUGCUCCUACGUCAGCAGUGACUAUUAAAUACAGUCAGCAGUCCACCUCAGAACUUUUUGGUGUGCAAAUGAAACAUGUUAAGUUGUAAGACUUCACAGCCAUGAGCUGAUGGGCCACAGUUCUCUCAAAGCAUAAAGCACUGUAAGUUUUAGUUUCUUGCACAGCAGUGACUGUUUUCAACAUUAGUAACUAUACAACAGGCUAAAAGGCAAAUUUAGUGAAUAAUAAUAUGUCGUUAUCAGAGUAGCUGUUUGCAUUUCACCAUGAUGCAGAUCCUUUCUAUAGCAGUUGUGUUGGCACAUGUCUUAGAAUUCGGCUAAUCCUCUCUUGAACUCAUUUAAACUUUUGUCCUCCACUACAUCAUUGACAAAAUGUUUCACAAUGGAAAAAUUAUUUCCUUUAAAAAAAAGGGGGGCGGGGGGGAGAAAGAAGAAGAAUGGGUGGAGGAAGUGGGGAUAAAAAGUCUGUUGUCUGCCAAUGCUGUGGGCUGCUCACUCAUUUUUCUGUAGAACUCCUAGGGUUUUUUUUAUUUUUCUACCUUAGCCUAUUAGCCUAUCCUCUGCACCUUUAGUCAUUUCCUGAAGUUUGUUUGUAGUUUCCUACAUUAGUAAGUAAAUGUAUCUAUUAUACUUUACAGACCUUUGAUAGUCUUUAAAUUAUACAAGUAAUUUAAAUCUUGGAACAAAUGUAUUUGCUUAUUGAUUUUUGUGAGUAGCUACGAAAUUCUUAUUUAUUAGUUGCCCCUUUUAAAAUUAAAAUAAAAAUUAAUGUUAUGCAAGAAAUAUAUUGCAAGUAAAUGUUAGGGUCUUAGUACUGCUCAAUGUUUAGAGAUUGUGGGAAAUGUAGAGAAUUUGUGUUAAAAGUUAUGGACAUUUUUCAAGAUAGUUUUCCAGGUCUGAGGCACACUGAAAGAUCUUUUUCGUAUGGUAGUGUGUUUGGUUUCAUUGACUUCAGCGGAAUACAUUGACUUAAACUAGCUGAGAAUCUGAUGAUAAGGUUUUAUACUCUACCUAAUGUAGUGUUGUGAUGACUUGUCCUCUGAAAUCAAAACUAUAUUGAUUAUCUUAACAGGAGGCUGGAUCUUUGGUCUGGAAAUUAUGCUGAUAGUGAUGUUACAGAAUCCAUGCUUGUAACUUCACUGGUUUCUUGCAGCCCCUCAAGUUCAUUAAAGACAAUAAAGACCCAUUCUUUUUUGUUAUGGUGCUAUCAUCAGUGAUGGAAGUAUUACAUUGUCAGUUGUAAGAAGUGGUUUAACUGCUGUUGGAUUCUGCCUUUAUGCCUGAAAAACCUGUUGAUUUAAAUGAGUUUGCACAGCUUAUGCUAAUGAUAUGGCUGGAAUGAAACAGGGUCUUGUGUAGUCUGCAAGGACUGUAUAUGGUCAUGGUUUGUAGCUGGGUGGGAGGGAUUGGUUAAAGUUACUUCUUAUUUGCACUAUUUAAUAUCUUAAAUACGAGUGAACAGUGUAAUUGGAACAGUUUCAUUUUUACAAGAGGAAAUUUAUAAAUCAGUUUUUAACCUGUGUUAGAAUUAAGAUACGUGUUUACUGGAGACAAUGAGUCUAGCCCAAACACUGAAACACCUCCAUUUUGGGUACACUAUUAGAACUUUUGUAAAAUUUUCAAAUCAUAACAGUCUGUCAGUUUAUGCGUGUUCAGUCUGAGACAUUACAUGAUGCCCUUU